rnacentral:rRNA from 1 species
AGAGUUUGAUCAUGGCUCAGAACGAACGCUGGCGGCGCGCUUAAUACAUGCAAGUCGUACGUGAAAGUUCUUUCGGGAAUGAGUAAAGUGGCGUACGGGUGAGUAACACGUAGGUGACAUGCCCAUUUGUGGGGGAUAACUUUGGGAAACCAGAGCUAAUACCGCAUAAGUUAUUAGGAUUUGAAUCACUAAUAAGAAAGAUUGCCUCUAUUUAUAAGCAAUCGCGGAUGGAGUGGCCUGCGGGACAUUAGCUAGUUGGUGAGGUAACGGCUCACCAAGGCAACGAUGUCUAGCCGGUCUGAGAGGAUGAUCGGCCACACUGGAACUGAGACACGGUCCAGACUCCUACGGGAGGCAGCAGUAGGGAAUAUUGCGCAAUGGGGGAAACCCUGACGCAGCGACGCCGUGUGAGGGAGGAAGGUUUUCGGAUUGUAAACCUCUGUCAAAAGGGAAAAAUGGUUAUUGUUCAAAUAGGGCAGUAAUUUGAUGGUACCUUUAAAGGAAGCACCGGCUAACUACGUGCCAGCAGCCGCGGUAAUACGUAGGGUGCAAGCGUUGUUCGGAUUUAUUGGGCGUAAAGCGCGCGCAGGCGGGAUAAUAAGUCAGGUGUGAAAUCUCGGGGCUCAACUCCGAAAUUGCGCCUGAAACUAUCAUUCUAGAAUAUCAGAGGGGGAUGGGGAAUUUCUCAUGUAGGAGUAAAAUCCGUAGAGAUGAGAAGGAACACCUGAGGCGAAGGCGCCAUCCUGGAUGAUUAUUGACGCUGAGGCGCGAAAGCGUGGGGAGCAAACAGGAUUAGAUACCCUGGUAGUCCACGCCGUAAACUAUGAGUACUUGUUAUUGCGGGUAUUGACCCCCGCGGUGACGAAGCACACGCGUUAAGUACUCCGCCUGGGAAGUACGGUCGCAAGACUAAAACUCAAAGGAAUUGACGG